CUUGGGAGCGGCAUAACCCCGGGAAACUGGGGAUAAUUCCGGAUAACGCAUAUUUGCUGGAAUGCUUUAUGCGUCAAAAGGAUUCGUCUGCCCAAGGAUGGGUCUGCGGCCUAUCAGGUAGUAGUGGGUGUAAUGUACCUACUAGCCAGCGACGGGUACGGGUUGUGAGAGCAAGAGCCCGGAGAUGGAUUCUGAGACAUGAAUCCAGGCCCUACGGGGCGCAGCAGGCGCGAAAACUUUACAAUGCGGGAAACCGUGAUAAGGGGACACCGAGUGCCAGCAUCAUAUGCUGGCUGUCCGGAUGUGUAAAAUACAUCCGUUAGCAAGGGCCGGGCAAGACCGGUGCCAGCCGCCGCGGUAACACCGGCGGCCCGAGUGGUGAUCGUGAUUAUUGGGUCUAAAGGGUCCGUAGCCGGUUUGGUCAGUCCUCCGGGAAAUCUGAUAGCUCAACUAUUAGGCUUUCGGGGGAUACUGCCAGACUUGGAACCGGGAGAGGUAAGAGGUACUACAGGGGUAGGAGUGAAAUCUUGUAAUCCCUGUGGGACCACCUGUGGCGAAGGCGUCUUACCAGAACGGGUUCGACGGUGAGGGACGAAAGCUGGGGGCACGAACCGGAUUAGAUACCCGGGUAGUCCCAGCCGUAAACGAUGCUCGCUAGGUGUCAGGCAUGGCGCGACCGUGUCUGGUGCCGCAGGGAAGCCGUGAAGCGAGCCACCUAGGAAUACGCCCCG
rnacentral:rRNA from 1 species